AAAGCAUAAUGGUGCUUAGGGUUUGCUGUGGAAAACAAGUCAGGGCGCGUCUUUGGUGCGGGGAGGUCUCUGCUCCCACUCUCCAGUGGCAACCGUCAAUGUGUUUGACCAUUUACAAACCCAUAUAGGCUCUGGGUGCGAAGGUCCAGAGCCUAGAGGGAAACAACCCAGAGACCACGUUAAGGUCCCUAAACGCAGACUCAGUGGAAUAGGUGCUUUGUUCGCAUAGACACUCAGAAGAUAGGCUUGGAAGCAGCCAGUCUGGAAUGAAAGCGUAAUAGCUCACUGAGAGAGUAAACAAAGACCAUACAUGUACGGGGCUUUAGUCUGCUACCGAAACGGGUCUGUGUGUGAUCGUGAUUUUCUUUUCGUGCACUCUAAGGCC
rnacentral:ncRNA from 1 species